rnacentral:rRNA from 1 species
AACUUUCAACAACGGAUCUCUUGGUUCUCGCAUCGAUAAGAGCGCAGCGAAAUGCGAUACCUAGUGUGAAUUGCAGCCAUCGUGAAUCAUCGAGUUCUUGAACGCACAUUGCGCCCGUCGGUAUUCCGGCGGGCAUGCCUGUCUGAGCGUCGUUU